rnacentral:ncRNA from 2 species
CUCUGGAGAGACCGUAAACGCGGCGCCGUAGGAGAAAUACUUUUUAGUGUAGAAACUCUCAGGCACAAAUACAGAG